rnacentral:lncRNA from 1 species
AGAAGGCGUGAAGCAUGCUCUUUGCCACACCAAGCCAUCCAAACAAUAAAGCAAAUAUAGCUUGAGCUCAAUUUUUCUACACAAAAUCUAUCUGCUUGCACAGUUCAAGCGGCAGCACUCGCAAUGGCUAACCACCGCGCCGCUGCCGCCCUCCUCCUAAUUGCGUCCCUCUUCAUGGCGGUCACCAUCUUCAGGGCCGACGCCAGGUCCACCGUGCGUCCCAAUAAGACAGUUGGCCUCCACCAUGACAUUAAUGCGCAAGGUAUGCAGCUACAUACACUCUGACCUGUCGUCCAAGCAAUCAUCCGCAUGAAAUGCAUCUGUGCCGUGAAUCGUUGUUUGACCAUAUGAUGAGUGUGCACGCCGAAUGAAUGAAAUGUCACAGGUUACAUGGUGGAUGCUACGGCACCGACGGUGCUGGAUCCAGAGUGCGAAGGUGAGGGGAAGCAUCACAAGGGGCAUGGUCGUUCGAGGGAGUCAGAAUCGCCAAAGCCAGAGCCGUAGGUGGAGUCGCCAAAGACAGGUCUGCCUUGAAGCCACGUGCGCUUUGAGUGCCUGCAUGCCUGGCUUAAUAAUGUGCCCUUCUCCCCUGGUCCCUGCGUCGCGACAAUGAGUCAUGCUAUAUAUGGCUUUCAAUAAGGAGGCGUGUCUUAUGGUCGUUUCGUUUUCUUGGUUAUGCUCCCCUCCAUGUAUGAGCGAAUAAGUUGCUAAUUAGCUAUGAUCCCUAGAUUGUGUGUCACACUUUUUCCAGUGUAGUGAUGCGUGUAUUUUCAAGGAAAAUUUGAUUUCGUCAGUUUGCUCUCAUGUAGUCAUGUGUUUGAUAUGCAUGUCCCGUGCAUCCGUGUGAUCUUCAUUUUGUCCAUCGUGUUGCCGGUGAGUGAUGCUUUGGACUCUGCUAAUUCAACCUCCACUGGACUAAAACGUAUGUCUCCAAGCGGUCACACAUUUUUAUGGUUGUACAAAUUUAGAUCCCUAAUUAAUAACCACCAAAAAUACGCUUUACGAUGCUAUAGGUAAACACUAGUAGUAGUGAACCAUACAUUAUCCAAAUAUUAUGUAUAUCUAAAUACAUAGCACAAAGUAAUGUGUUAUAAUUUCAAAUGGCAGAGUAUGAUGCUGUCACUCUUAAGAGAUUGCAUGUAUGGAUGUUCAAAUUUAUUAUAGAAACCGGCAUUUAUAGUUCUAUUUUUUGUUGAUAUAGCAAAAAUAAAUACAAGAAGAUAGCCCUAAGAGGCUAGGCUACCUACAUAAAAACGAAAAUAAACAAAAGCAACAAUGCCACACACUAUAGAGCCGGUGGACAAGCAACAGACACAACACACAGAACACGGUCAUCGCAAACUCCACAGCAACUCAACAAGACCCACGAGCCACCAAUAUUCCAAGAUGAUGAGUCAUCUACUGGUGGACCUUCUAGCCAGCUGACCUAGCUUCCUUGGUGUUAUAAGCCGUCUAUGACAUGGUAAACUGGUGGCUCCGUCGAAGGCUGAAGCUAAGCAUAGGAAUCAGCAGAGGUUACACUCUUGCGCUGCUAGUUGCUGGGCUUCUUUGCACGUAAUGGCGAAGCCUCCUUAGGGCCAUACGGGGUCCUGGCCCCCUUUCAUCGCCAAGAAAAUUUGUGGCAUGGAUGACAAUGCAUGUGCAUGCAAUGAUGAAUAUGUGUUCUUGCUUUUGCCUUGUUUCCUCCAACACAUGAUGCGGCAAGCAUCAAGUCCAAUCCUAUUACUACUAGUCUACUAUCUAGCCCAUGUCUCAUGUCUGGCUUGUGAUGAAGGUUUGUGCAAGACCAAUCUUUGACAGCGCUACAAAUGAUCAGAUCAUGUCGGGCUGCAAUAAUAUUCUUGUGAAGUUGAACAUUUAUCAUCAUCCUCGCUCAAACUUGAGCAUGUCCCUCUGGUCAGCGUGAUAUAUGAUAGGAUCAACCUCCCAGAGCCAGCAUUCAAGAUAAGAUUAAUCCUCAUUAGGAUCUAGUCUUUAGAAAUAGAGAGGUAGAGAGAGGGAAGAGUUGGGAAAAGGUGCCAGCCAAUCGAUGCUCUAAGGCUUGUACCUUAGCGGAAGUCAAUCUACGUCUAAGAUUUAUCUUGUAGUGAACUUCUUAUUUUAGUAAGCAACAUUGUUUAUAUUGUUCUCCUGGUUUGCGAGUCUUCUAUUAGUACUUUAAUCUACCCAUGGCGUUAAUACUAAUCGAAUUAAUUCUUGUAUGUAUAGACACUACGACCCAAGUGAUCAAAGGGAUUGCUAUAUUAAUGAUAGCUUCUAGGAUUUAAUAGCACUAUUUUUUUGUGGUAGGUGAUGUGUGCGUGGACAGCGAGACGUCAAUGGUGACUUUGUCAAUCUCAGGAUUUGUCGAUCUAACUCAGUUCUUCAAAGCUGCUCAUAGGGGUACGGUGUGUGUAUGCAAUCAUAGGGGUGAGCGUGCGCUCGUAUUUUGAGUGUUUGUGUCUCUAACUGCGUAUCGCAAAACAAGAGCCAUUUGAAAAAUGAAUUUGAGUCCCAUACACAAUUUAUAGUACCUAACAAAUUUAUUUAAUACAAAUUUGUCUUUAUGUCCUCGUCCCUAAGACAAUUUAUGGCUACAAUUUUACAUGCUUUAUACUAAAUUUUAGAACGAAAGAAGUAAAGUAUAACUUAUACCUUAUUUGUUAACCUAACUUAUUUCAAAUUAUUUAUAGGUGUGGUUUUUUAGGAAAACACAAUAUUAGACCUCAUCUCAGGCUGUACUUUUCUUGUUGUAGCCUUGCUACACGCUGUUGUGUUAAUAUGUGCAGCAGCCAGAGCUGCAACCAACCAGGCCGCACCAAAUAAGAUCCUCCAAAGUAGUUUAUGGAUCUGUCAUAAGCUGGAUACCUAGUUUGAUUAUGGAUUUGUCAUAAGCUGGGAACGUAGCGAGCUAAAUAUGGAUUAGUCAUAAGCUGAGUGCCUUGCUUGUUUAUGGAUUUGUUAAGGUUUUAAUAUUGCUAGCAAGCUAUAGAUGAUUCGGGUUAUUUGGCAAUCCAUUCAUCAUUGGGCUUAUAACCCAAGUCCAGGGGUAAACAAACAAGGAGCGAGAAGCUGUCUUCCAGAUCUUUUAAUUAAAUAUUUUUGUAUUCCGGGUAACUCCACGUUUUCUCACGAGGCAACACUCACAAACCUCGCUAACUCCUCUUAAUACAUCCAUAGGUACAUAGGGCAAAUAAGAAGGUAACUAAUUAAGAUCGUUGCUCAGCCAAAACCAUACUCCAAAUGAGCUCCAUUGGAAUCAUAAGCACCCCUCAGAUUCACUUGGUCUCGUGCCAACCAAAUUGCAAUGGAGACGCCGGCUAAAAGAUGUGCUGCGACGACAUGUCCAUAGCAGCGUCAUCGAUUCACUCGUCCGUUGCUCGUCCUUGCAACGACAUGUCAGGUUGUAUGUCUCUGCACUUGUAGCUUCUUCUAUUGAUUCGUCGUGUAUUACUACAUACAUCUUAUCAGCUACCCCAUUCGUCGGGCUAUAAGAAGGCGUGAAGCAUGCUCUUUGCCACACCAAGCCAUCCAAACAAUAAAGCAAAUAUAGCUUGAGCUCAAUUUUUCUACACAAAAUCUAUCUGCUUGCACAGUUCAAGCGGCAGCACUCGCAAUGGCUAACCACCGCGCCGCUGCCGCCCUCCUCCUAAUUGCGUCCCUCUUCAUGGCGGUCACCAUCUCCAGGGCCGACGCCAGGUCCACCGUGCGUCCCAAUAAGACAGUUGGCCUCCACCAUGACAUUAAUGCGCAAGGUAUGCAGCUACAUACACUCUGACCUGUCGUCCAAGCAAUCAUCCGCAUGAAAUGCAUCUGUGCCGUGAAUCGUUGUUUGACCAUAUGAUGAGUGUGCACGCCGAAUGAAUGAAAUGUCACAGGUUACAUGGUGGAUGCUACGGCACCGACGGUGCUGGAUCCAGAGUGCGAAGGUGAGGGGAAGCAUCACAAGGGGCAUGAUCGUUCGAGGGAGUCAGAAUCGCCAAAGCCAGAGCCGUAGGUGGAGUCGCCAAAGACAGGUCUGCCUUGAAGCCACGUGCGCUUUGAGUGCCUGCAUGCCUGGCUUAAUAAUGUGCGCUUCUCCCCUGGUCCCUGCGUCGCGACAAUGAGUCAUGCUAUAUAUGGCUUUCAAUAUGGAGGCGUGUCCUAUGGUCGUUUCGUUUUCUUGGUUAUGCUCCCCUCCAUGUAUGAGCGAAUAAGUUGCUAAUUAGCUAUGAUCCCUAGAUUGUGUGUCACACUUUUUCCAGUGUAGUGAUGCGUGUAUUUUCAAGGAAAAUUUGAUUUCGUCAGUUUGCUCUCAUGUAGUCAUGUGUUUGAUAUGCAUGUCCCGUGCAUCCGCGUGAUCUUCAUUUUGUCCAUCGUGUUGCUGGUGAGUGAUGCUUUGGACUCUGCUAAUUCAACCUCCACUGGACUAAAACGUAUGUCUCCAAGCGGUCACACAUUUUGAUGGUUGUACAAAUUUAGAUCCCUAAUUAAUAACCACCAAAAAUACGCUUUACGAUGCUAUAGGUAAACACUAGUAGUAGUGAACCAUACAUUAUCCAAAUAUUAUGUAUAUCUAAAUACAUAGCACAAAGUAAUGUGUUAUAAUUUCAAAUGGCAGAGUAUGAUGCUGUCACUCUUAAGAGAUUGCAUGUAUGGAUGUUCAAAUUUAUUAUAGAAACCGGCAUUUAUAGUUCUAUUUUUUGUUGAUAUAGCAAAAAUAAAUACAAGAAGAUAUCCCUAGGAGGCUAGGCUACCUACAUAAAAACGAAAAUAAACAAAAGCAACAAUGCCACACACUAUAGAGCCGGUGGACAAGCAACAGACACAACACACAGAACACGGUCAUCGCAAACUCCACAGCAACUCAACAACAACAUCGGCUACUGCAAUGACCCACGAGCCACCAAUAUUCCAAGAUGAUGAGUCAUCUACUGGUGGACCUUCUAGCCAGCUGACCUAGCUUCCUUGGUGUUAGAAGCCGUCUAUGACAUGGUAAACUGGUGGCUCCGUCAAAGGCUGAAGCUAAGCAUAGGAAUCAGCAGAGGUUACACUCUUGCGCUGCUAGUUGCUGGGCUUCUUUGCACGUACUGGCGAAGCCUCCUUAGGGCCAUACGGGGUCCUGGCCCCCUUUCAUCGCCAAGAAAAUUUGAGGCAUGGAUGACAAUGCAUGUGCAUGCAAUGAUGAAUAUGUGUUCUUGCUUUUGCCUUGUUUCCUCCAACACAUGAUGCGGCAAACAUCAAGUCCAAUCCUAUUACUACUAGUCUACUAUCUAGCCCAUGUCUCAUGUCUGGCUUGUGAUGAAGGUUUGUGCAAGACCAAUCUUUGACAGCGCUACAAAUGAUCAGAUCAUGUCGGGCUGCAAUAAUAUUCUUGUGAAGUUGAACAUUUAUCAUCAUCCUCGCUCAAACUUGAGCAUGUCCCUCUGGUCAGCGUGAUAUAUGAUAGGAUCAACCUCCCAGAGCCAGCAUUCAAGAUAAGAUUAAUCCUCAUUAGGAUCUAGUCUUUAGAAAUAAAGAGAUAGAGAGAGGGAAGAGUUGGGAAGAGGUACCAGCCAAUCGAUGCUCUAAGGCUUGUACCUUAGCGGAAGUCAAUCUACGUCUAAGAUUUAUCUUGUAGUGAACUUCUUAUUUUAGUAAGCAACAUUGUUUAUAUUGUUCUCCUGGUUUGCGAGUCUUCUAUUAGUACUUUAAUCUACCCAUGGCGUUAAUACUAAUCGAAUUAAUUCCUGUAUGUAUAGACACUACGACCCAAGUGAUCAAAGGGAUUGCUAUAUUAAUGAUAGCUUCUAGGAUUUAAUAGCACUAUUUUUUUGUGGUAGGUGAUGUGUGCGUGGACAGCGAGACGUCAAUGGUGACUUUGUCAAUCUCAGGAUUUGUCGAUCUAACUCAGUUCUUCAAAGCUGCUCAUAGGGGUACGGUGUGUGUAUGCAAUCAUAGGGGUGAGCGUGCGCUCGUAUUUUGAGUGUUUGUGUCUCUAACUGCGUAUCGCAAAACAAGAGCCAUUUGAAAAAUGAAUUUGAGUCCCAUACACAAUUUAUAGUACCUAACAAAUUUAUUUAAUACAAAUUUGUCUUUAUGUCCUCGUCCCUAAGACAAUUUAUGGCUACAAUUUUACAUGCUUUAUACUAAAUUUUAGAACGAAAGAAGUAAAGUAUAACUUAUACCUUAUUUGUUAACCUAACUUAUUUCAAAUUAUUUAUAGGUGUGGUUUUUUAGGAAAACACAAUAUUAGACCUCAUCUCAGGCUGUACUUUUCUUGUUGUAGCCUUGCUACACGCUGUUGUGUGUUAAUAUGUGCAGCAGCCAGAGCUGCAACCAACCAGGCCGCACCAAAUAAGAUCCUCCAAAGUAGUUUAUGGAUCUGUCAUAAGCUGGAUACCUUGUUUGAUUAUGGAUUUGUCAUAAGCUGGGAACGUAGCGAGCUAAAUAUGGACUAGUCAUAAGCUGAGUGCCUUGCUUGUUUAUGGAUUUGUUAAGGUUUUAAUAUUGCUAGCAAGCUAUAGAUGAUUCGGGUUAUUUGGCAACCCAUUCAUCAUUGGGCUUAUAACCCAAGUCCAGGGGUAAACAAACAAGGAGCGAGAAGCUGUCUUCCAGAUCUUUUAAUUAAAUAUUUUUGUAUUCCGGGUAACUCCACAUUUUCUCACGAGGCAACACUCACAAACCUCGCUAACUCCUCUUAAUGCAUCCAUAGGUACAUAGGGCAAAUAAGAAGGUAACUAAUUAAGAUCGUUGCUCAGCCAAAACCAUACUCCAAAUGAGCUCCAUUGGAAUCAUAAGCACCCCUCAGAUUCACUUGGUCUCGUGCCAACCAAAUUGCAAUGGAGACGCCGGCUAAAAGAUGUGCUGCGACGACAUGUCCAUAGCAGCGUCAUCGAUUCACUCGUCCGUUGCUCGUCCUUGCAACGACAUGUCAGGUUGUAUGUCUCUGCACUUGUAGCUUCUUCUAUUGACUCGUCGUGUAUUACUACAUACAUCUUAUAAGCUACCCCAUUCGUCGGGCUAUAAGAAGGCGUGAAGCAUGCUCUUUGCCACACCAAGCCAUCCAAACAAUAAAGCAAAUAUAGCUUGAGCUCAAUUUUUCUAAACAAAAUCUAUCUGCUUGCACAGUUCAAGCGGCAGCACUCGCAAUGGCUAACCACCGCGCCGCUGCCGCCCUCCUCCUAAUUGCGUCCCUCUUCAUGGCGGUCACCAUCUCCAGGGCCGACGCCAGGUCCACUGUGCGUCCCAAUAAGACAGUUGCCCUCCACCAUGACAUUAAUGCGCAAGGUAUGCAGCUACAUACACUCUGACCUGUCGUCCAAGCAAUCAUCCGCAUGAAAUGCAUCUGCGCCGUGAAUCGUUGUUUGACCAUAUGAUGAGUGUGCACGUUGAAUGAAUGAAAUGUCACAGGUUACAUGGUGGAUGCUACGGCACCGACGGUGCUGGAUCCAGAGUGCGAAGGUGACGGGAAGCAUCACAAGGGGCAUGGUCGUUCGAGGGAGUCAGAAUCGCCAAAGCCAGAGCCGUAGGUGGAGUCGCCAAAGACAGGUCUGCCUUGAAGCCACGUGCGCUUUGAGUGCCUGCAUGCCUGGCUUAAUAAUGUGCCCUUCUCCCCUGGUCCCUGCGUCGCGACAAUGAGUCAUGCUAUAUAUGGCUUUCAAUAAGGAGGCGUGUCCUAUGGUCGUUUCGUUUUCUUGGUUAUGCUCCCCUCCAUGUAUGAGCGAAUAAGUUGCUAAUUAGCUAUGAUCCCUAGAUUGUGUGUCACACUUUUUCCAGUGUAGUGAUGCGUGUAUUUUCAAGGAAAAUUUGAUUUCGUCAGUUUGCUCUCAUGUAGUCAUGUGUUUGAUAUGCAUGUCCCGUGCAUCCGUGUGAUCUUCAUUUUGUCCAUCGUGUUGCUGGUGAGUGAUGCUUUGGACUCUGCUAAUUCAACCUCCACUGGACUAAAACGUAUGUCUCCAAGCGGUCACACAUUUUGAUGGUUGUACAAAUUUAGAUCCCUAAUUAAUAACCACCAAAAAUACGCUUUACGAUGCUAUAGGUAAACACUAGUAGUAGUGAACCAUACAUUAUCCAAAUAUUAUGUAUAUCUAAAUACAUAGCACAAAGUAAUGUGUUAUAAUUUCAAAUGGCAGAGUAUGAUGCUGUCACUCUUAAGAGAUUGCAUGUAUGGAUGUUCAAAUUUAUUAUAGAAACCGGCAUUUAUAGUUCUAUUUUUUGUUGAUAUAGCAAAAAUAAAUACAAGAAGAUAGCCCUAGGAGGCUAGGCUACCUACAUAAAAACGAAAAUAAACAAAAGCAACAAUGCCACACACUAUAGAGCCGGUGGACAAGCAACAGACACAACACACAGAACACGGUCAUCGCAAACUCCACAGCAACUCAACAACAACAUCGGCUACUGCAAUGACCCACGAGCCACCAAUAUUCCAAGAUGAUGAGUCAUCUACUGGUGGACCUUCUAGCCAGCUGACCUAGCUUCCUUGGUGUUAGAAGCCGUCUAUGACAUGGUAAACUGGUGGCUCCGUCAAAGGCUGAAGCUAAGCAUAGGAAUCAGCAGAGGUUACACUCUUGCGCUGCUAGUUGCUGGGCUUCUUUGCACGUAAUGGCGAAGCCUCCUUAGGGCCAUACGGGGUCCUGGCCCCCUUUCAUCGCCAAGAAAAUUUGAGGCAUGGAUGACAAUGCAUGUGCAUGCAAUGAUGAUUAUGUGUUCUUGCUUUUGCCUUGUUUCCUCCAACACAUGAUGCGGCAAGCAUCAAGUCCAAUCCUAUUACUACUAGUCUACUAUCUAGCCCAUGUCUCAUGUCUGGCUUGUGAUGAAGGUUUGUGCAAGACCAAUCUUUGACAGCGCUACAAAUGAUCAGAUCAUGUCGGGCUGCAAUAAUAUUCUUGUGAAGUUGAACAUUUAUCAUCAUCCUCGCUCAAACUUGAGGAUGUCCCUCUGGUCAGCGUGAUAUAUGAUAGGAUCAACCUCCCAGAGCCAGCAUUCAAGAUAAGAUUAAUCCUCAUUAGGAUCUAGUCUUUAGAAAUAGAGAGGUAGAGAGAGGGAAGAGUUGGGAAGAGGUGCCAGCCAAUCGAUGCUCUAAGGCUUGUACCUUAGCGGAAGUCAAUCUACGUCUAAGAUUUAUCUUGUAGUGAACUUCUUAUUUUAGUAAGCAACAUUGUUUAUAUUGUUCUCCUGGUUUGCGAGUCUUCUAUUAGUACUUUAAUCUACCCAUGGCGUUAAUACUAAUCGAAUUAAUUCCUGUAUGUAUAGACACUACGACCCAAGUGAUCAAAGGGAUUGCUAUAUUAAUGAUAGCUUCUAGGAUUUAAUAGCACUAUUUUUUUGUGGUAGGUGAUGUGUGCGUGGACAGCGAGACGUCAAUGGUGACUUUGUCAAUCUCAGGAUUUGUCGAUCUAACUCAGUUCUUCAAAGCUGCUCAUAGGGGUACGGUGUGUGUAUGCAAUCAUAGGGGUGAGCGUGCGCUCGUAUUUUGAGUGUUUGUGUCUCUAACUGCGUAUCGCAAAACAAGAGCCAUUUGAAAAAUGAAUUUGAGUCCCAUACACAAUUUAUAGUACCUAACAAAUUUAUUUAAUACAAAUUUGUCUUUAUGUCCUCGUCCCUAAGACAAUUUAUGGCUACAAUUUUACAUGCUUUAUACUAAAUUUUAGAACGAAAGAAGUAAAGUAUAACUUAUACCUUAUUUGUUAACCUAACUUAUUUCAAAUUAUUUAUAGGUGUGGUUUUUUAGGAAAACACAAUAUUAGACCUCAUCUCAGGCUGUACUUUUCUUGUUGUAGCCUUGCUACACGCUGUUGUGUGUUAAUAUGUGCAGCAGCCAGAGCUGCAACCAACCAGGCCGCACCAAAUAAGAUCCUCCAAAGUAGUUUAUGGAUCUGUCAUAAGCUGGAUACCUUGUUUGAUUAUGGAUUUGUCAUAAGCUGGGAACGUAGCGAGCUAAAUAUGGACUAGUCAUAAGCUGAGUGCCUUGCUUGUUUAUGGAUUUGUUAAGGUUUUAAUAUUGCUAGCAAGCUAUAGAUGAUUCGGGUUAUUUGGCAACCCAUUCAUCAUUGGGCUUAUAACCCAAGUCCAGGGGUAAACAAACAAGGAGCGAGAAGCUGUCUUCCAGAUCUUUUAAUUAAAUAUUUUUGUAUUCCGGGUAACUCCACAUUUUCUCACGAGGCAACACUCACAAACCUCGCUAACUCCUCUUAAUGCAUCCAUAGGUACAUAGGGCAAAUAAGAAGGUAACUAAUUAAGAUCGUUGCUCAGCCAAAACCAUACUCCAAAUGAGCUCCAUUGGAAUCAUAAGCACCCCUCAGAUUCACUUGGUCUCGUGCCAACCAAAUUGCAAUGGAGACGCCGGCUAAAAGAUGUGCUGCGACGACAUGUCCAUAGCAGCGUCAUCGAUUCACUCGUCCGUUGCUCGUCCUUGCAACGACAUGUCAGGUUGUAUGUCUCUGCACUUGUAGCUUCUUCUAUUGACUCGUCGUGUAUUACUACAUACAUCUUAUAAGCUACCCCAUUCGUCGGGCUAUAAGAAGGCGUGAAGCAUGCUCUUUGCCACACCAAGCCAUCCAAACAAUAAAGCAAAUAUAGCUUGAGCUCAAUUUUUCUAAACAAAAUCUAUCUGCUUGCACAGUUCAAGCGGCAGCACUCGCAAUGGCUAACCACCGCGCCGCUGCCGCCCUCCUCCUAAUUGCGUCCCUCUUCAUGGCGGUCACCAUCUCCAGGGCCGACGCCAGGUCCACUGUGCGUCCCAAUAAGACAGUUGCCCUCCACCAUGACAUUAAUGCGCAAGGUAUGCAGCUACAUACACUCUGACCUGUCGUCCAAGCAAUCAUCCGCAUGAAAUGCAUCUGCGCCGUGAAUCGUUGUUUGACCAUAUGAGGAGUGUGCACGUUGAAUGAAUGAAAUGUCACAGGUUACAUGGUGGAUGCUACGGCACCGACGGUGCUGGAUCCAGAGUGCGAAGGUGAGGGGAAGCAUCACAAGGGGCAUGAUCGUUCGAGGGAGUCAGAAUCGCCAAAGCCAGAGCCGUAGGUGGAGUCGCCAAAGACAGGUCUGCCUUGAAGCCACGUGCGCUUUGAGUGCCUGCAUGCCUGGCUUAAUAAUGUGCCCUUCUCCCCUGGUCCCUGCGUCGCGACAAUGAGUCAUGCUAUAUAUGGCUUUCAAUAAGGAGGCGUGUCCUAUGGUCGUUUCGUUUUCUUGGUUAUGCUCCCCUCCAUGUAUGAGCGAAUAAGUUGCUAAUUAGCUAUGAUCCCUAGACUGUGUGUCACACUUUUUCCAGUGUAGUGAUGCGUGUAUUUUCAAGGAAAAUUUGAUUUCGUCAGUUUGCUCUCAUGUAGUCAUGUGUUUGAUAUGCAUG